rnacentral:rRNA from 1 species
AUGACGAUGAAGAUGACGAAGAGGAGUUGGCUCCCUAGACACCGCCGGCUGCCACCAAGGCCCUCGACUCUAGAGGGGUGUGCGUGGGGGCAUGACGCAAACACAAAUGAGAGUUGGCAGGAGGUGCUACCGCGGCGCGGCCCGUGUCGUCCGGCUUCGUUUCCUUCCUCGACAAUGGCUCCUCGUCCCAUCUCCGCUUGGCUUCGCGGUAGAUGUUACAGAUGCUUCGCUCAUGGUCAUCGCACGGCUGUUUGCAAAGAGCCGUUGCGGUGCUCCCGUUGUUUGGAGAACUGUCAUCGUGCGUGUGGAUGUUGCAACCCAUGGCGUCCUCUAAGCUCACUGCCAUGCCUUGAUGUGUGGCGCAUGUUGCAGCUCGACGUCGUGCAUCGUCCUGCUCUUGCUUCAUGUGAGGGUCCGUUUCAUCGUUGGACUUGGGUGUCUGUCGUCUCUGGUACCGCUGGCUCACUAACCUUGUCGGAGCUGAUGUUGCAGUCCGCUUUGACUGAUCAGAUUGUGUUGCUGCAAGGUUGUUUGGCGCGUGUUGGGAGCUUUUUAGAGCGAGCGGAGGCUGCUCUGAGUAGACUCUCCCUUGCGCCAGCUAUGUUGCAGACCUCUCUGACGCCGCACUCUCCUUGUGCGGCCGGUGUUUUCUCCGUGGAGGAUAGGAGGGUGGAGUUAUAUGGCUCCUUCUCCCCUCGUGUUGGAGACAAUUCAUCCUCGAUGCCUACCUCCCAUCCUAUGUUGUCUUCCACUGAGGGCGAAUCCAUUGCCGUGCUUGUGGCUCCGGUACUGCAGGUCAUGCCCGAGCUUAGGGAGCUAUGUCUGAGUUUGUCAGUGGAUCAUAUGAAGGUGGACACGUCGACGACCUCGAGCGAGGGACAAGAUUCACCUUUGUCAAGUGAACAGCUGGAGGUUCCUAUGGUUGAUGAUGCGAGAGGGAAGGCAUCCGCGAUGUCAUGA